rfam:Glycine soja cultivar W05 scaffold55_45, whole genome shotgun sequence.
UUUUUAUUGGAUGACAACUGUCAAGUAUCAUGUUCUGAUUGGAUAUCAACUCAAUGAAAGAUGAAAUGCAUUGUUAUUUUCAUUAAUCAAAAUAUGAUACGUGACAAUUAUCAUCC